AAUUCCGGUUGAUCCUGCCGGAGGUUACUGCUAUUAGAGUUCGACUAAGCCAUGCAAGUACUUUGGAACUUCGGUUCUGAAGUGCGAACGGCUCAGUAAUAUAUAACUAACCUGCCCUUAGGUCUUCUAUAAUCUCGGGAAACUGAGGAUAAAAGAAGAUAGGAUAAGUGUUCUGGAAAGAGCUUAUCCAAACUAAGGAUGGGGUUAUACCUGAUUAGGUUGUUGCCGGGGUAAAGUCCCGACAAGCCUAUAAUCAGUACGGGUUGUGAGAGCAAUAGCCCGGAGAUGGAUUCUGAGACAAGAAUCCAGGCCCUACGGGGCGCAGCAGGCGCGAAACCUUUACAAUGCACGCAAGUGUGAUAAGGGAACUCUAAGUGUUAUUCCAUAUCGGAAUAACUUUUGUUAAGUCCAAACAGCUUAACGAAUAAGUGGUGGGUAAUACGGGUGGCAGCCGCCGCGGUAAUACCCGAGCCACAAGUGGUAACCACUUUUAUUGGGUUUAAAGCAUCCGUAGCCGGUCUAGCAAGUUUCUGGUUAAAUUUCCUAUUAACUGGGAAAAUGCCAGAAAUACUGCUAGACUAGAGAUUGGGAGAGGUUAGAGGUACUCUCGGGGUAGGGGUGAAAUCCUUUGAUCCUGAGGGGACCACCAAUGGCGAAGGCAUCUAACCAGAACAACUCUGACGGUGAGGGAUGAAAGCUAGGGGAGCGAUCCGGAUUAGAUUGAACCCUUUCUCUUAAAAGAGAAAGUUUUCAUAAGAAAAAAUGAAUUUGACAGCGAAUCUCUCGGUUCCUAAAUACCCGGGUAGUCCUAGCCGUAAACGAUGCCCGCUUGGUGUUGGCUGGUUUGUAGAAAUCAGCCAGUUCCGAAGGGAAACCAUUAAGCGGGCCACCUGGGGAGUACGUCCGCAAGGAUGAAUCUGCAGUAUGACAGAAGUGUUAUGCUGUAAGCAUCUAACUUAAAGGAAUUGGCGGGGGAGUACAUAAGGGGUGACGCGUGCGGUUCAAUUGGACUCAACACCGAGAAUCUUACUAGGGAAGACAGCUGAAUGAAGGUCAGUUUAAAGAACUUACCUGACUAGCUGAGAGGAGUUGCAUGGCCGUCGUCAGCUCGUGUUGUGAAAUGUCCAGUUAAGUCUGGCAACGAGCGAGACCCACGCUUUUAGUUGCUAUCUGCUUUGGCAGAGCACUCUAAAAGGACUGCCUGCGCAAGCAGGAGGAAGGAGUGGGCGACGGCAGGUCGGUACGGCCCGAACUUCCUAGGCUACACGCGCGCGGCAAUGGUUGAGACAGAGAGUUGCAAUCUCGAAAGAGAAAGCUAAUCCCUAAACUCAACCUUAGUUCAGAUCGGGGACUGAAACUCGUCCCCGUGAAGAUGGAAUCCCUAGUAAUCGAACGUCAUCAUCGUUCGAUGAAUCUAUCCCUGCUCCUUGCACACACUGCCCGUCAAGCCAUCUGAAUAGGGUCUUGAGGGAGCUUCCCCGAUUUCGGGGAAUCAACCUUGGAUUCUGUAAGGAGGGCUAAGUCGUAACAAGGUAGCCGUACGGGAACGUGCGGCUGGAUCACCU
rnacentral:rRNA from 1 species